UCUAGUUAACAGAUGCCUAGAUUAGUGAAACAAUAUAAAGUUAGCAUAAGUAGCAGUAGUUAUGCUAAGGCCUCAUAGGCCCGGUAAACUUCAAGUGAACUUUAGUGCUUUAGUGCCAGGUAGAUCGGAAGAUGUAUUAUCUAGAAAAUGUACUAAACCUUAUCUAUGGAAUGCACCUUUUGGCUGAGUAACGGAUGUCAGGGUGUACCUAAUAAAUCUCUGUAUGCUAUCUCUAAAAGUGUGCAGGGAGAUGUUGGAUAUAUAAACCCUGUAAAUUCUGUGGCAAAUUGGGGCUCUGACUUUGGACAAUAGUCCUCAGGUCCCCAGGGCCCUCAAUAAAGCACCGCAUAAAACAA